UACCCUCACAAAGGAUACCUUCUGACUUCUGGGAUCAGUUGACAGGAUGAGCCUCUCUUCCCCACCUUUGGGUAACAUUUGAACACUUGGUUAUGCUGAGUGCCUCCCCAGGUAGGAUAACCUUUAGCAACAUCCAGUUUUCCCAUAAGCUAAUCAGAAGUACAUACUUAGCCCUCCAAACAGUGUUUCACUAGUAACUCAGGUAUAUACAUGGAAAGACAUGCAGUAUGGGAAACAAACAGGAAGAGUUGUAAAGUACAGUGCAACUAGAAAACUAUGACCUAAUCACUAUCACCAAAAUGUGGUGGGACAAAUUGCAUCACUGGGACACUGCAAUUAAUGGCUACAAACUGUUUAGAAGAGGCAGGCAAGGAACAAGGGGCAAAGGGAUUACCCUCUACGUAAAGAAACAGAUUAGUUGUGAAGAGCGCUCUCUGAAAAAUAGCCAUGAACAGGUCAAGAGUUUAUAAAAAAAAAAAUAAAAAAAUAGGGACCAAAUGAAUUCUUGUGGUUGUUUUUACUAUGGGCUACCCUAUCAAAGGGAGUAUGCUGACGAAUACUUCUUGCUCCAGCUACAAGAAGCAUCACAAUUACAUACAAGAAGCAGGGAAAGCAGGAAACCAGCGUGGCUAAGUAAGGGCCUGAUGGUCAGACUGAAGCAUGAGAAGGAAAUGCAUAGGCAGUGAAAGCAGAUACAUGUGGCCUGGAAAGAGUAUAGAAAUUCAACCCACAUGUGUAGAGAUGGGAUCAGGAAAGCCAAGGUACAGUUGCAGCUAAACUUGGCAAGGGAUGCAAAUAAUAAUAAAAUAUUCUACAGGUACAUUAGCUGGAAAAUGAAUACUAAAGGGAAUAUACCAACUCUGAUAAACAAGAUGAGAGAACUGGUGAAAACAGACACGGAGAAGGAGGACGAAUUCAACGUUUUUUUUGUUUUUUUGUUUUUUUUUUUUGUGGCUCAGUCUUCACUGGCAAUCACUCCUAACACAUCUCUCAAGUCCCUGAGACACAAGGCAGAAAUUGAGUAUGGAAAUCUCUCCCACUGUGAGAGAAGAAGAGUUCCAAGACCACCUGAUGAACCUGAACAUACGUAAGUCUAUAGUACUUGGUGAGAUGCAUCCCAGAGUCCUAAGAGAAUUGGCUGAUGUAGUUACCAGAUCAUUCUGCAUCAUAUUUGAAAAGUUAUGGCAGUUAGGUGAAGUCCCUCAUGACUGGGAAAAAAAAAAAAAAGGAAAGGCCCUGGGAAUUACAGACCAGUCACCCUCACCUCUGUGCCUGGGAAGAUCAUGGAACAGAUCCUUCUGGAAGCUAUGUUAAGCCAUAUGGAAAACAGGAAGGUUAUCUGAGACAUGGCUUCACAAAGGUCAAAUCGUACCUGACCAAUCUGAUGGCCUUUUAUGAUGGAGAGACUGCAUCAGUUGAUAAGGGAAGACUGACCAAUGUCAUCUACCUGGACUCCUGUAAGGCUUUUGACAGGGUCCCACAUGACAUCCUGAUGUCAUCUCCAUGAUGGGAGAGGUAUGGAUUUGAAGGGUGCACCCUGUCCUGGGACUAGUACUGUUUAAUAUCUUUAUUAAUGAGAGACAGUGAAAUUGUGUGCCCCUCAGCAAGUUUGCAGAUGACACUAAGCUGAGUGCUGCAGCUGACAUAAUAGAAGGAAGGGAUGCCAUCCAGAGGGACUUUGACAGGCUCAAGUAUUGGGCCCAUGGGUGACUUGCGGAAAGCUGACUCCACAAUCAGUAAGAUUGUAAAGUAGGUAUGUUUAUUCAGCGCUGGGCAGCACAGGGAUAGUCCCACCAAAGUCAUGCACACCUAACGUGGCAACUUGCCCUGGUUAUAUGCAGUAAAGAGUUACAUAUGCAUGAGGUUUCCCAAUACGCCUAUACAUAUGCACGACCUGUUCCUGCUCAGUAUUAAAAUUAGCUACAAUAAGUCAUUUCCAUAAAUUCCUCUUGUCUGCACUUGCUCAGUGCCUUGUGGUAGUGGGCAUUGAGGGUUGUGGGGAUGAAGUAAGGUGUCUUCAUCAGGGUUGAACUGUUCACCUCAUCUCUUUCUGCAUGCUCUGUGAGGCCUUGGUCACAAUCUGAGCCAUAAGGUUGGUUUGAUCUGGUUCUUGGUGUCUGAGGGGCUCCUGUUAUCUUGAGGUCUUGUAUGUUUAACAUUUCUCAUCUUGUCCCUUUGUCCUUAUCUCUGAACCCUUGGUUAAAGUCUGAACCAUGAGGGGCUCCUGUUAUCUGGAGGUCUAAGUGAAUCAAUCGCUCUCUAAUUUCUAAUCCCAAUGAUUCAUGGGAACCUCAUGAUGUUCGAGAACACCAACUGCAAAGUGCUGCACCAGGGUCAGAGCAAUCUCAAACAUCAGUACAGUUGAGGUAUGAAUGGAUUGAGAGCAGCCCUGAGGAGAAGGACUUGGGGUGCUGGUUGAUGAAAAAUUGUACAUGAGCUAGCAAUGUGUGUUUGCAGCCCAGAAAACCAACUGUAUCCUGGGUUGCAUAAAAAAAAAAAAAAGUGUGGCCAGCAGGUCAAGGAAGGUGAUUCUCCCUCUCUGUUCUGCCCUUGUGAGACACAGCUGGAGUACUGCAUUCAGUUUUAGGACCCCCAAAACCAAAAAUAUGUCAUGAAAAGAUGUCACCGAAAAGAAUGGUCAUGAAGAUGGUUAGAGGGCAAGAGAACUUUUCCUAUGAAGAAAUGUUGAGAGAGCUGGGGUUGUUCAGGCUGGAGAAGAGAAGGCUCUGGGGAGAUGUUAUUGCAGUCUUCCAGGUUCUGUGGUAAUACACUGUAUGAAAUAAAUGAACAACCUCUUUUUCUUUUGUUUUCUUCAUAUAUUUCCUUUCUUUCUUUUGCUUUCUUGAUGUUCUUCUUCCUC